AUUGAACGCUGGCGGCAUGCCUUACACAUGCAAGUCGAACGGCAGCGCGGACUUCGGUCUGGCGGCGAGUGGCGAACGGGUAAGUAAUACAUCGGAACGUACCCUGUUGUGGGGGAUAACUAGUCGAAAGAUUAGCUAAUACCGCGUACGACCUGAGGGUGAAAGUGGGGGACCGCAAGGCCUCACGCAGCAGGAGCGGCCGAUGUCUGAUUAGCUAGUUGGUGGGGUAAAGGCCCACCAAGGCGACGAUCAGUAGCUGGUCUGAGAGGACGAUCAGUCACACUGGGACUGAGACACGGCCCAGCCUCCUACGGGAGGCAGCAGUGGGGAAUUUUGGACAAUGGGGGCAACCCUGAUCCAGCAAUGCCGCGUGUGUGAAGAAGGCCUUCGGGUUGUAAAGCACUUUUGUCCGGAAAGAAAUCGCGCUGGUUAAUACCUGGCGUGGAUGACGGUACCGGAAGAAUAAGCACCGGCUAACUACGUGCCAGCCGCCGCCGUAA
rnacentral:rRNA from 1 species